GCACGAAUAGCACAAUGGUUGUGCAAACGCAUGAUAAGCGUUCGGCUCUAGGUUCGAGUCCUAGUUCGUGCA
rnacentral:tRNA from 1 species